CUGGAUAUAUACGAUUGCGGUCUUGGAUUACUUAGAAUCGGUCCGUUUAAUUAUGAUCCUUUGCGAGGUGUGGAUCUCUGGUUGGCGCAAUCCGAUCAAUUCAUUCUGCAACACUUGUCAACGUCACCGGAAGUAGAACAACCACAUUUCGUCUCACAAGUACGGGCAACACUCAAGUACAUUCAGGACAAUCAAUUUCCUGCCGUCACCGUCUUCCGAGAUAAUAAACCUCAUUACUAUCGCCGAGAUGAAAUCACUGGUGUCUGGCAACCAAUGCGAUACUAAUCUUAACAAAUCGCAGAUUCGAUUAAGGCUUGCGUGGAAGUUGUUCGCGAAAUUUUCGAGUGACGCAAAGUAUAAUCAAAUUGCGGAUUAACGAAGUAUGCAGAGUCAAAGGAAUUUAAAUCAAUUACUGAAACGUGAAACUGCGUCUUUUGAAAAUCGCAGUACCGUCGAGUUCUGCAUACCGCAGAAUUGGUGCCCUAAUAAAAUCGUUUUAAAAAAAUCGAUCUGCAUUUAUAAUUGAUGAGAAAAAUACGAAAUUGGCAUAUAAUUGCAGCUUUUGUCGGCCGGCAAUUAUUUGUGUUCAAUAAAAAAGACGUCCGAGCGGGAAAAAAUCGUGAGAAUAUAGAUUAAAACAGUCAUAAUUAGCGCACAGAUUGAUGCCUUAAUGUCUGUUCACAGUGGAAAAUAUCUCGUAAACCACAUUGAAAACGAGAUGCAGAUUAGCCUUUGAAUAUACAUUGCCAAGUAUAUACAAUUUGUAAUAUUUACAAAUUAAAUUCAAAGAAUAGAGCUUAUAACUCUGUUAUCAUAGAGUAUAAGCCAAGAAAAUAAAUUAAAAUAAAAAUAACUUUGGGAAACAAUUUUCCGAAAAUUUUAAUACGCAUUAUUCGGCACUGAGAUUAUGUGUGUGUGCAUAUACUUAUAAUAACGCAUAUUUUUCUUUAAAUAUCUUUUAUAUUGGAAAAUUAUUUUUAAAAUAAUAUUGAGGGAUAUUUUUUCUAUCAUGUAAUUACAGCAGGAUAUUUUAAGUCAAAUCAUUAUAUGAAUUGCAUCGCGAUCAAAAUUGCUUUUAGAUAAAUUCAUAUAAAGAUUUUUUUUAAUUAUCCGCAAAUUAUCAUCAAAAAUUUCUAAAAUCGUAUCCGGGUAUUUUGCUUGCCAGGUGACAAUUCUUUUAUAAUUCAAAAUUUGUAAAACGAUAUACGACUUUACAAAAUCUUACGAAGAAGAAAAGAAACCAAAAAGAUAAUUUUAUAAAGCAUGCACACAUAAAAAUAUAUUCUUUUCUCUUCUAGCAUUUUUUGGAUAUAUUUAUAUAAAAAGCAAUAUUCGCGGAUAUAACAUGCAAAGCGCUUCAAUCGUGAAUAAGCUUGUAUGUAUUAAUAUGUUGGCAUUGUUGAAUUUCUUUUUUGAUAGAUGCUUAUGUUAUGUAUAUGGAUAAUGAUUGAAUUCGAUUCGUUGUUACAAAAUGUUAUUAGUCAUAAGUCCCUUGUUCCAUCAUUGAACGUUCUCUCCGGCUUAACUUUUUAGCGAUAAAGCAACAAUGUGUAUUCUCAUCGCGCAUUUAGUAUUAAAUGCGAUUUAAUACUUAUUUCAUCUUUACAUCACGUGCAAUCUUCAUAAUUAAACAAAUAAUUCAAUAGCUGAAAAUCACAUUUGAUGCUAACUGCGCGAUUACAGCGCGAAUUUACGCACACGCGCGUGGAAUUAGGCUCAGGCAUUUAUCCUUCUUUUUUUUUUCUUUUUAUUUUCUUCUUUCAGCUGAAUUACGAAAGUUCGAGCAACGAAGAAUUUCGUACUUGCCAUAAUAAAGAAAAGAAUGUUGUAUGAAAGAUAGUGGUGAAGUAGAGAACAAUGUACAUAAUAUUUUCAGGGUUGUGCCCGAAUUCUUUUCGGGUGAGGGAAAGUUCCUUUGCCUCGACAGUUAUUUUACGGGGGGACGCGAAAUCUCUCCGAAAAUUCAAACAGCGAAGAUUAAUAAUUGAAUAAAAGUCGUUGAUGUCACGCAAUAAUUUUUACUAACUCAUUCUCGUACAUACAUAUAUGUUAAAAAUACCAAUCUUCUUUAAUUAUUUGAAUGUGUGUUAGAUACUCGUGAGACACACAUUUAGGCGUUCGCGUUUGAUCAUCAUUUACGUCGUAGAAUAAACAUCCAAGAUAAAAGAUGCUAUGUGUGACAAAUCGUUAAUUAUUGUUUUAGUAAUUGUAAACAAAAUAUACAAAUGCAUAAUAAUAUGGUGCAAUUCGAUCAAUCUGGAAAUCGCGUGAACGUCCUACAUAGGUUUUAUUGUUACAUAUUUAGAAAGUGCAGGCGUGCGAUUGCGAUCGAAAAAUUAAAAUGACGAGGCCUUCCCUUACCUGUGAAUUCAUCGAUUAAGCGGGAAGGUAAUUACUCUCCGGAUUGCGUUUGAGAGUACAGUUCCCCAGCCAUACAAAAAAGGUUUCUUGUAUUUCGAUACAUGAAUACAAUUUUCAUAGCAGAAAAAAUUCAAAAAAUUCAAUGUUAUUGUUAAGAGCGUUCCUCGUCCUUUGAGCGAAUAUAUAUGUAUAUGUGAUGAAUAUAUCAUUUUUUUUAAUGAUAUUUUAAGCGAAGAGUAUAUAAAAUUUCUUCUACAGCUAUGGUCUCGAACUUUUGAAGUAAUGCAUAAAGGAAAGGUGCGUUUACAAUUUUUUAUUGUUCUAGUGAUAUAUAAGCUAAUUGAGGUUGAUAUUAAUAAUAAUAAUGAUGACGCGAUGAUCAGAAUGAUAUUGCUAAUAAUGAUAAUAUGAUAUUUUCUAGAGAUCGAAAAGAGAUAUAUUUUUACUAUAUUAUGUAAAAGAGCGAAUGCACUCGCGACGAUGAAGCUUUCAGGAUCGAACAUACGACCCUUUUCCCUUCUCAUUCGAUCUGCGUGAAUGGAGGAAGUGUAGCGGGUGGUUUGCCACUUACUUUGUUGCUUCUGGCUGAAGAAUAUACGGCUUUUCUUGCUAGCUCAUAGAAACUUCCCGGUACAGUAAUACAAUUACAUAUAUAUCUCUACUUCUUAUGUUCUUUAUCGCGCGCGCUCUUUUUUUCCCUAUCCCCGGCCUCGUUCUUACAAUAGCGUUCCCGUUCGAUCUCCUUCGCAUUCUUUCUCGCGUUACGCAGACGCAAUCUUACUACAUAAUAUUAUUUGGUGAUAUAUUUAUACAAUAAACGAUACUAGACUAAAGC